CCUACGGGUGGCAGCAGUGGGGAAUAUUGGUCAAUGGGCGCAAGCCUGACCCAGCAACGCCGCGUGAAGGAAGAAGGCUUUCUGGUUGUAAACUUCUUUUUUCAGGGACGAAGCAAGUGACUGUACCUGACGAAUAAGCCACGCCUAACUCCGUGCCAGCAGCCGCGGUAAUACGGAGGAUGCGAGCGUUAUCCGGAGUUAUUGGGUUUAAAGGGUGCGGAGGCGGAUUAUUAAGUCAGCGGUCAAAUCGUGGGGCUCAACCCCGUCCAGCCGUUGAAACUGGGGUUCUAGAGUGUGCGAGAGGUAUGCGGAAUGCGUGGUGUAGCGGUGAAAUGCAUAGAUAUCACGCAGAACCCCGAUUGCGAAGGCAGCAUACCGGUGCACAACUGACGCUCAGGCACGAAAGCGUGGGUAUCGAACAGGAUUAGAUACCCUUGUAGUC
rnacentral:rRNA from 1 species